AUGCAACUAGGAUUAGCCAGUUGUGUCCACCAACUGCACAAGCUUCCACUAGUUUUCCUAUCCACCUUCCAUUCAAAGCAGUUGCAUCACCAGCCAAAUAGGGCCUGCAACCAUCAAAAACCCCUGCCAACAAGCCUUGAAACAAAAAAAAGCCCUCCUGAAGCACUCCUUCUGAAACAACUUCCCUUUUAUUUUGUAUGUAACUGUAUGCUUGUCAAUCUCUACAACACUCCCUGGACUAGCAACUUGCACUUCAGAUUUAAAUGUGUAGAACAACUGAAAGCUCUCAUUCCAAGGACUAUUAAUCCUAUCAGGAGUCAUUUCCUUAGCAUAGAAAAACCUCAUCUAAGGUAUAUCAUUCUAGUACUUCUCAAAUAG
rnacentral:rRNA from 1 species